UGGUUUUACGCCUGGACAAGACAGGAGGAUAAGGCAGGAUGGCAUAGGAGCAGGACUGUCCUACUACACACACCUGGCAUGGCCCAUGCCUCAGUGCCACAUUCAGCAGCCAUACAUGAUCAGAGUGAGAGAAGGCGGCAUCUGAGAUGCUGAAUCGAGAAGAGUUUCCAUAGCAACUCGGCCAGGGAAACCCUCCCAGAGCUGGGGAGCUCUACACCGCAGCCAUGCUGAGACACAGCCAUUCUCAGGCCAAUUCUUGCACAGCACUUAUAGAGAAGUAUGCAAGUGCCUGCUUGGGGGAACAGGCAAGGGGAUCUGUGUACAGAAGAGGGCAGAUUUACAGCCAAGAAACAAUCUAUCCCGUUAAGAGAAGCAGGUCAUUAUAUUCUUGGGGGAUCCCAAAGACUUACGAUGAUGAUUGGAAACCUCAGAACAAAAUAUUGGAGGACGGCAAUGACAGCACAUACAGGAAUGUCAUUGUCACCCAGUGUCCUUUAGCCCUGGGCAGAUGUAAAUUUCUAAUCUGGGAAUUCAAGGCUUCUUUCUACAUCCCAGUAGACAUAGCAAUCUUUUUCUACUUGGCCACUCCCAAGACUGACUACAGCAAGAAAAUCUAGGCAGCACUACAGAGAGCUCUUAUUGCCAGCACAUCUUACCUUCACAGAGAAGGCUGCUCAAGAAAGACAAGAGAUAUAUUAAAAGGAAUUUUGAAUAAAGCUUUAAGACAAGAGCCUUGAUCAAACUCCACGUGUCACAUUCUGCUGGAAGGAGAUGAACAGAGAAACCCCCCACCAGGCUGAAGCAAAGAGACUUCAGAUAGGUUAAGAAGUGUCUGCAAGAGGAGGAGGGGAUCAACUGACACUCAAAAGCAGUAUCAGCACCCUCUCCAGGAAGGCAAGAGCAGUCUGUCCCACAGAGGAUGUCUCUUUAAUCUGCAGCUAACAGGCUUGCUCCACAAAUUAGCAUGCACGAGGCUGUAGAAGCAUUUAGUAUUCAGAAAGCAUCAGUCUGAUACAAACCUAUUUGCUGCUGCUACUGCAGCAGCUGCCAGUAGUGACAGUGAGCCGUGAUGCAAGGCAGACUAUUGAGUGCUUUUUCCUUCCUGGAGGGCACCCAAGGGGACAAAGCCAGUAAUACAGUUCAGGCGUCUCCUAACUUGAGUACCACACCCAUCUCAUCCCACGCCUGCCACAAGGCAGACAGAUGGAUGUGUACCUCCCAAGUCCCUGUCAGUGCUGUGCUCCUGCAUGGUAUGAAUGCACCACAGGGCCCUGCUGUGCAUGGCUGUGGGAAUUCUCUUGAAGGAAAUACCAGAUUUCCUCUGCAAGACCUCACUGUGCACAGACCACACUUGAGUCAAGCAAAAGCAGCCUAAGGGUCUCUGUGCUCCCAGAAAAGGAGCUGGGCUCAGAUUGCAGAAAGGGACUGAGGACUUCAACACCUACAAGAAGCUCAUCCAGCCUAUUUCUUGAAAUAAGACUGAUUUUUAUCUCCAAACCGUUUAUCCACAAAAGGUGCUGCUCCCCUCCCCUAAGCUCCCACAACAGCACUUGCAUGUGUUGAAGAAGGUCAAACGUCCAGUCACUUGUUGCAGAACUAUUUAUUUGGAUGCUGACCAGAUAAAUUACUUUUUUAAGCCAGAGGACAGAAAUAACAGUUCUUCAGUCUCAGAUUAGAGGAAGUUCUGAACAUUAAAGAAGGCACUAAGGGUGAAACCUGAACAGAGCUUUGAACUGAUCAUCUGUAGAAACAGGAGUCCCCAGCAGCCCGGGUCACUGAGCGAACUGCGACUCUGCUGUCCCCAUGGAUAAGCUGGGCUUGAGCUGAGGCAGACAAUCAGAGGCAAGAGUGCCACUUAAACAUAUAAAGCAGAAUUAUUACAAGGUUGCCCCAGGACCAGCCACACAACACAACCUCUCCAUGUGUUCUAGGAAUUUUCCUUUCAGAAAAACCUGGACUAUGAUACACACACAGGCUGAGCUCAUCCUGUCACAUUAUUUUUAGACUCUGGCUCAGGGGAGAAUCUGUUGAUAUAAACAACUGUGAGUGGCAAGCACCAGCCCUUGAAAGGGAAAUUAAAAUGACUGAAUGAAGGGGAAGAGAGAGGGAGAGGAUCUUUAUUUCCCUUUGCAUCACCAAGACUUCUGGUCUGGCCUCUCCUUAACUAGAGGAAGGAAACAUACUCUUGAAAAAGACAUUCUUUUAGGAGAUUGGCUGAGCCUGUCAGGAAAGGCCCAAGCCAGCAGCACUGCACAGAAAGGAAAAGUAAUGGGGACAGUUUAUCAAAGCGUCCCUUCUCUCCUCGUCCACCUUCCCCAUACUCUCCAACACUGGUUUCAGGUCAGAGUGUCCACAUAAAAACUCAUGGAUCCCAGUAUUCCCAAAGGAGCAGCAACAUCAGGGCAGUCCAAGCCAACCAGCAGAGCUCCCACACUCCCUCCAUCAAUGGGAGGCCAAGGAUGUUAUUUCUCUUCCUUAGCAUGCAGUUUGUUCCGCCGCUCCAUUUUCUUCUGUAGUUUCCUCUUCAUCUGCAGUUGCUUUUUUUCCUGCAGUGUCUGCUGGACCUUCUCACGGAAUUUAUUGUUUUUCUUCUUGAUCUUGGCCAGCUCUGCCUUCCUUUUUUCCUCCAGAUCUGGAUCCUUUCCUUCAAGGAUCAUUUGUUUCCGCUUAUUUAUUUCUUUCUUCUCAUCAAAAUCCAUGUACUCCAGUUCUAUUUCACACUCCCUCCUUGUAACAUUCACGUGGGUAAGGAUGUCAAGCACCAAUUUCUCUUCCACAGAAAACUCCUGCAGCUUCAGUUCUAAAUCAAGAUGAGACAUUUACAUACAUGGUUGGUUGUGAAAUCCAGAGGCAGGUUCUCAACUAGUAAAUAAUCUACAUAGUUCCACCGACUAGGAGUAGAAUUGAUGUCGUAAGUUAUGAUUGUUGUCACUUCUGUAGGUCCACAACAAAGGAUUGCAUCCUCCCUUCCCUGCAAUUCCCAUAGUAAAAGAUGUUGCAUUUACUGGGUCUGUUUCCUUAAAAAAAAGGAUGAAGUCUAUGCUCUUUUCAUUCACCUCAGCACAUGCAGUAGCGAGGAAGUAAGAAAGAAGCUGUCUGCUUUAAUAAAAAGGCUACAAAGUAUGUUCAACAGACAGUUUCUCCUCCGCUAGAAACAGCAAGAGCAGAACUGAUGGAGGUUCAAGCGCUCCUAUUCCUUUCUGAGCUGUGGCUACACAGGAAAGGGAAACCAUUUUUAUGCUGCUGUUCUGAACCAUACAUCCUGGUUGAUAAAAUCCAGGCUGCAAGUACCACAGACACAAAAACAUGUACGAUUGUACACUUCAGUAGUAUUAAUGCUCCCCACUUACUGAUCUCCUCCUCAAUAGCAUGUACAAGAUGGAUGUCAUACUGGGUCACCAUUGUAAUAGAGAUUCCGUUCCGACCUGCGUGAUGAAAACACAGUGACACAUAAAUCCUGACAAGCAGAGGGAAAGGAAGCCUAACCCAUGCCAAAUUCCAUCCAUCUCCAUGAGUCAACCUAGCACAUUAUGGUGACAGGAUGCUCCAAAGGGUCUUUAUUUGCUCUAAAAAAGCAGUUAAGUACUGGUGCAGAUCAGACACAAGAUAAGCUAUCCUUGCAAUCUUAAGGCACGAUGCUGAGCCAGCAAUCUCAGUAGACUUGGCAUUGACUGAAAAGACUGUACCACAGCUGCUGUGAAGGUUUCUCACACUCAUCAGGGCACAGCCCCAGCACUGAGAUCCCAGUUUUAGCCAGCUGCAGCACUGCUGCAAGUGGUGCAGUUUGGCCCACUCACCUGCACGGGCUGUCCGGCCAACCCGGUGAAUGUAGAUUUUUGGCAGGCCUGGAGUGUUGUGGUUGAUGACAACUUGUACAGUAGGAAUGUCCAAGCCUCUGCAAUGCAGAAAGAGAGAACAGAAGCUGAUAAACUUAAUUUUAAUACAUAAAAUCUAAGUUCCUGAUCGUUGCUUUCUCCAAGAACUCAAUAUUCUCAUGAACAGAGUGUUUAUAAGCUUAUGCUAUUCUAGGACAAAUUCUCAUCUCGUGCAACUCUCCAACAGUCACAAAAGAGGAUAACCUGCAAUACAUGUCACCUGAUAUUCUCUCCUGGACCAAGAGAACAAGCUAAGCUCUGUAGAAAUCACUCUCUUGCUAGAAUACACACACCUGAGGCAGUAAAACAAGACAGGAUCAUAACUACAUUGCAUACAAAUGGGCUCCAAAACACAGCCUACAGAUGUUUUGUAAUGACAACGAACAAUCCUGACCUUCCUCCAUGGGCAGAGUCUAAAGCUCUCUUGUUAAACUCACCCUAAUCUCUACAGUGAUUCUGAUGCUUUAAAAGCAGGGUCAGGGCCUUUGGCAACAGAGACUGCAGUUUUCUCUUACCUGGCAGCAACAUCUGUAGCAAUAAGAAUCUUAAAGAUGCUGGAUUUGAACUUCGCUAAAGCUGCAAAUCGUUGCCGCUGGAAAAGGAGAAUCCUGGAUUAGGGACACUGUGACCCACAGGAGCUGUUUGGCUCAGGAAUCCAGCUAGAAGCACCCACCUCCCACACUUGUCCCAUCACUCACCUGUUUCAUCAUAGAAUGCAGAGCUACAGAAGGAAAACUGAACUUUCUAAGCAUCAUAUUCAAGAUUUGACAUUCCCUUAAAAGGAAAAAAAAUACAAUUAAAAAAAUCAAAAUACAUCAGGCAAACAGAGAGCUGACCCAUCAAGACAGAGCUGGGAUUCCUCUGGAAGCCCUCACAGUACAAUUACCACAACAUGCUUAGUUACUGAAGCACUGUGACAGAGCAGGAAAUGGGACACCCACUCCUCACUUGCUCACCCCUGAGAGGGCGACUGGAUUCCCACCUGCACCAUAUCUCAGUCCCCAGCAAUGUGAGCUCUUCCCCACCAUUUUCCAGUACCCAUCAGCAGAAGGAAAGGUGGCUGCAGGGAAGUAAAAGCAGCUUGACCUUCCAGCAUGCUACAUCUCCGAGUGGCCCUUCAGUCCCAGGCUGCUCAAAAAAAGUGUUCUUCUACCAAACUGCAGCACAGGUUGAAAAAGCAAACACCAGCAGAGCUUAACAGCAGUACAGCAGGAAUUUGGAAUCUGAAUUAGAAUCACAAAAGCACCUCUACAGCAAAAGCCAUCACUACAAAAAAUUCCGCUUACUUGCAGGUUUUGGUAAAGAUAAUAAUAGACCAGUCUUCGUGCUCAUCCUGGAAGGUCUGGAUUAAGUGGACAAGGUAUGCAUCCUUGACUGCUUCAGGUACAAGCAAGUAACGCUGGUCCAGCUCAUCUACUGUCCGCACCCUGUAGGGAAGGGACAGUAAAGCACUAAAAUCCACAGCUGUGGCAAGAGAAGGAGGAAUACAAGGGAUGUAAGAGACAGUAAGGAGGUAACAGAGAAAAAGCAGGAUGCCACGUGUGGCAGAGCACAGACACACGUACUCGGAUGCAGCCUCCCAGAAGAAAGGUCUGUUCAUGGCCAGGCUCUUCAGCUCAUUCAGCGUGUCGGUCAGCGUGGCGCUGAACAGCAGCGUCUGCCUGCGUGCCGGAACAGCCUCCAGAAUCACCUCCAGGUCCGCAGUGAAGUCAGCACAGCCCUGCUCCAACAACCGGUCAGCUUCAUCCAAGACCUAGGCACAGCCACAACUAAGUGAGAUCAUCUGCAAGUGUUCUUCCAAAACCAAAAGCCUUAAAAA
rnacentral:lncRNA from 1 species